AGUGAUUAUUAUAACGUCGUUCCGCGCAUAUUCGUAGAAUAAUACACGUUCGGAGCAAAUAUAUCUUAAAAAAUGAAAAUCGCUUUCCUGCAUCUGUAUUGGAAAAUGCUGCUUACAAGUAUUUUGACUCCAAGUAGCACAAUACAUGGUUUUAGUACAUUAAUAGGGUGUGACGCUGAACGAGGAUUUCCAGG